rnacentral:rRNA from 1 species
AUUGAACGCUGGCGGCAUGCCUUACACAUGCAAGUCGAACGGUAACAGGUUAAGCUGCCGAGUGGCGAACGGGUGAGUAAUGUAUCGGAACGUGCCCAGUCGUGGGGGAUAACUGCUCGUAAGAGCAGCUAAUACCGCAUACGACCUGAGGGUGAAAGCGGGGGAUCGCAAGACCUCGCGCGAUUGGAGCGGCCGAUAUCAGAUUAGGUAGUUGGUGAGGUAAAGGCUCACCAAGCCGACGAUCUGUAGCUGGUCUGAGAGGACGACCAGCCACACUGGGACUGAGACACGGCCCAGACUCCUACGGGAGGCAGCAGUGGGGAAUUUUGGACAAUGGGCGCAAGCCUGAUCCAGCCAUGCCGCGUGCGGGAAGAAGGCCUUCGGGUUGUAAACCGCUUUUGUCAGGGAAGAAAAGGUUCUGGCUAAUACCUGGGACUCAUGACGGUACCUGAAGAAUAAGCACCGGCUAACUACGUG